GGAGCCACCAACUUAAGUAGAAAGUCAUAAAUUAUGAGAACUGAUAUACUAGAUAGAAAGGAAGAAAUAGCUCAGUGG
rnacentral:tRNA from 1 species